rnacentral:rRNA from 1 species
GUGCCAGCCGCCGCGGUAAUACGGAGGGUGCAAGCGUUACUCGGAAUCACUGGGCGUAAAGCGCAUGUAGGCGGUCUUGUAAGUUGGGUGUGAAAGCCUAUGGCUCAACCAUAGAACUGCACCCAAAACUACUAGACUAGAGUCUGGGAGAGGAAAAUGGAAUUAGUUGUGUAGGGGUAAAAUCCGUAGAGAUAACUAGGAAUACCAAAAGCGAAGGCAAUUUUCUGGAACAGUACUGACGCUCAGAUGCGAAAGCGUGGGUAGCAAACAGGAUUAGAUACCCUGGUAGUCCACGCCCUAAACGAUGAAUGUUAGUCGUCGGGAGGCUCGUCCUUUCGGUGAUGCAGUUAACACAUUAAACAUUCCGCCUGGGGAGUACUGUCGCAAGAUUAAAACUCAAAGGAAUAGACGGGGACCCGCACAAGUGGUGGAGCAUGUGGUUUAAUUCGAAGAUACGCGAAGAACCUUACCUAGCCUUGACAUUGAUAGAAUCUGAUAGAAAUAUUGGAGUGCCAGUUUACUGGAGCUUGAAAACAGGUGCUGCACGGCUGUCGUCAGCUCGUGUCGUGAGAUGUUGGGUUAAGUCCCGCAACGAGCGCAACCCUCGUCCUUAGUUACUAACGGUUCGGCCGAGGACUCUAAGGAGACUGCCUUCGUAAGGAGGAGGAAGGUGAGGACGACGUCAAGUCAUCAUGGCCCUUAUGGCUAGGGCGACACACGUGCUACAAUGGAUAGGACAAUGAGACGCAAUACCGCGAGGUGGAGCAAAUCUAUAAACCUAUUCUCAGUUCGGAUUGUAGUCUGCAACUCGACUACAUGAAGCUGGAAUCACUAGUAAUCGUAGAUCAGCCAUGCUACGGUGAAUACGUUCCCGGGUCUUGUACUCACCGCCCGUCACACCAUGGGAGUUGAUUUCACCCGAAGCGGGGAAGCUAAACUGGCUACCCUCCACGGUGGAAUCAGCGACUGGGGUGAAGUCGUAACAAGGUAACC